GCCUCGGUGGUGUAAUGGUAGCACGCAGGGCUGUGGACCCUGGGGACCGGGUUCGAUUCCCGGCUGAGGCC
rnacentral:tRNA from 1 species